UAGGUUCAACAUUAUAACCGUGCAAACGACAUCAAAUAUUUUGGAGGCAGAAAAAUUAAUGCUUCAACACAACACUACCAAAGAUAAUUCUAUUAUUUUCAACUUCUGUUCCUAAGUUAUACUUAAACAUGGUUUUUAAAAGUUUGAUUAAAUGUUUCAUAAUAGGUUAUUAUUACACAAACCAAUAAAUGAGAAAUCAAAACUAAAUCCAAACACUAUAUUUAUAAACCAUAAAUGUAAAAUUUAAAUUCCAAACCCUAUAUCUAAACUCUAAACCCUACCCGAACCCCAAAUCUUAAAACUAAAUCCAAACACUAUAUUUGAAACCCAGAACUCUAAACCUAAUCUCUAUAUUCCAAAUCAUAAAAUUUAACAAUCAUAUAUACUCAACUUAAAUUCAUAAAUCUAAACUCCAAAUCCAACCCUAUUCCCAAACCCCAAAUCUUAAAACUCAGGCGAAACUUAAUCUAAACCUCAAAUACCAAGGUAUUGCUUCUUCCUUUACAUUGCUAGAUAACAUUAUAUUCUACGAUUGAUAUCUUAUACCACAAUAGCUACGACAAGAUCAAACACUAUCAUAAUAUCAUUUUUAAAAUAUAAUCUCAAAUCAAAAUUAUAAACCUCAAACACUAAAUCUUAAAUCUACACCCUAAAUCUAAUACCCUAAACCCCAAACUUAAACCUUCCAUCUAACAUUUUCAAACUUAUAAUAUAAAUCUCAAACUUAAAAUCAAAUUAAAUCAUUUAAAAAAAAUCUAAUCUCAAAUUUAAAAUCCAAACCUCAAACACUAAAUCUAAACCUAUACUUUAAAUUUAAUACUCUAAAACCCCAGACAUAAAUCCAACAUACAAAGUCACUAAUCUAAUCUAAUAUUUUUAACAUUAAUUCUUAAAUUUAAAAGAUCCUAAUCUUACACUAUCCAUUACUUACAAAAGUUUAUUUUAAAAUUUUAAAUCUUAACUUUUUAUUUUAUAUAUCUAAACUCUAAACCUUACAUACAUAUACCCCAAACAUCAAUAACAAAAUUUAAAAUUUAAUAUCAAAUCUAAAAUUAAAAUUUUAAAUUGUGAAAUCUAAUUCUUUGAAUUUUCUCUUAAAAUAUUUUUGUACAUUAAAAUUUACCAGUAAUAUUUUGUGUAUUGAAACAAAAAUAGAAUAAGAAAUAGUUACAAAAAUAUGAUUGGUCAAAAUAAAGUGACCAAUAAUGUACAAGGACUAGGAUUGCACUAUAUUUUAAUCACAACCGUUGAUUAAAUUACAUCCAAUGGACAAAAAUGCAUUGAAACUUUUAGUUAUCUCCGUGCUUGUUCCCCCAAGACAAGGAUCUCAUCUGGUCUCUCUCUCUCUCUCGUUUUCUUUCUAACUUAUCUCUCAGAUUACAGAUUUCACAUUUUUUUUUUCUUUCAGAGAUUAUCAAGAUCUCUUUAUUUCCAGCAGAUCUAAUCUUGAUUAUUGAGGUUCUCUUAGUCAGAAGAGAUGGAAAGCUCUACCUCGCCGCUGCCGAGCUCUAGCCCCGCCGCUGUUGAGCUCUAGCCCUGCCGUCUCCAUAUCCUCUCUGUCUCCGUCAAUAUCCACACCACCACACUACUACGGAUCGAUUCACGCAUGAGAGGCUGGAGAAGAAAAUGAAGAAGCUUGAAGGUGGAGGAGGAGGCAUAUAAGGCGUUCGUGAGCAGUGGAGGCGUUUGUGAGCAAAGGUGGUGGUUUGGGAUAGACGACUGCAUCCGGAAAGAUGUUUUGCUGAUGAAGAUAAAUGGAGAGGAUCCUGUUACCUUUGGACCUAUUCAGCGUGAGAGUGAUGCCUCUGUUCCAACUCCCCAAUCAAGCCAAGAACUUGAUCAAAAUUCUCCCGUACACUAACUCCUCCAUCUGAUCUUGGUGUCUUUUGUGUUUAUACUAAGUUAAACUCUAACAGCAUUAGAUGUCUUUUGUAACUAUUGAACAUCAUUAGAUGUCUUUUGUAAAAAACUUAUAAUUUUAAUGGUAUUUGAAUAUUUCAAUUAAUUAUUA